rnacentral:rRNA from 1 species
AGACGGAGGGUGCAAACGUUGUUCGGAAUCAUUGGGCAUAAAGGGCACGUAGGCGGCCCAGUAAGUCAGUUGUGAAAGCCCACGGCUCAACCGUGGAACUGCAUCUGAUACUGCUGGGCUAGAGACUGAUUGGGGUGAGUGGAACUCCUGGUGGAGCGGUGAAAUGCGUAGAUAUCAGGAGGAACACCAGUGGCGAAAGCGGCUCACUGGACCAGUACUGACGCUGAGGCGCGAAAGCUAGGGUAGCGAACGGGAUUAGAAACCCCAGUAGUCC